GAAAUACAUGUCAAGCCCAUUGCUCCCUGGGAAAGUCACCCUGCCCUAUUCCGGGGAAUAAGUAUUUAAUGACCUUCAAAAAGUUAAAGCUUUAUAACCGCGAAAGCCCCAAGCUGUCUUCAGCAUCGGUCAAAAAUAUUACCGAGUAAAUAUCCUCAAUCCUACUCUCAACAGAUUGUAAGAGCAUGCAUCCUGCUGGAGAAUUUCUUCAUGGUUGACUGAAGAAUAUUGACUUUAGAAUAUAAACUUUAGUUUAGGUCUGUCAAUUUCUACUGUUGAUGGAAAUAUUUGGUCAUUGGUAUGCGUGAGUGCAGCGAAUGGACGUUUACUAAUAUUUCCCUAUUCAAAUUUAAUCCUUCCCAGCCCAUAAAUCGAUUAGAAAGAUGGAAGAAUGGACCAUUCUUGGUUGUAGGAUAAGUGUGAUCAGUGGAUCCAACCAAUGAAAGAAUGGAUUGUUGACGGUUGUAAUAGACGUGUGAUCAAUGGAUCCAACCAAUGGAAAAAGGGAUCACUGAUGGUUGUAGCAGAAGUGUGAUCAGUGGAUCCAACUGAUGAAAGAAUGGAUCACUGAUGGCUGUAAGAGAAUGUGAUCAAUGGAUCUGACCGACAGAAGAAUGGAUCAUUGAUGGUUGUAACAGAAAUGUGAUCAUUGGAUCCAAUCAAUGGAA